AAAGCGUAUAGACAAAUCAGUUUCAAAUAGAACUUCUUGAUAAAGAUGAUGAGCAAAUGAUCAAAGUGAUCAUAAUAAAUGAGGCAAGUGAUCUAGAAGGUCACGUGACAUAACACUUCAUAAAAUCUCAUGAGAGAUUCAGGUACCUGAAUAUAUGAAUGAAAAUAUCUAUAUGUAAUGUCUUUAUGAAAAUUUAUUGGAACUGAUAUAAAAUGUUCGUCGACGACAUCUAUGAUAGCGCUAAAUAUCGGUGAGGAUCUUAAGUUUGUCGAAUACAGACAAAAAUAUUGGCCAAAUGGAAGAGAU
rnacentral:lncRNA from 1 species